AGUGAACGCUGGCGGUAGGCCUAACACAUGCAAGUCGAACGGCAGCACAGUAAGAGCUUGCUCUUACGGGUGGCGAGUGGCGGACGGGUGAGGAAUACAUCGGAAUCUACUUUUUCGUGGGGGAUAACGUAGGGAAACUUACGCUAAUACCGCAUACGACCUACGGGUGAAAGCAGGGGAUCUUCGGACCUUGCGCGAUUGAAUGAGCCGAUGUCGGAUUAGAUAGUUGGCGGGGUAAAGGCCCACCAAGGCGACGAUCCGUAGCUGGUCUGAGAGGAUGAUCAGCCACACUGGAACUGAGGCACGGUCAAGACUCCUACGGGAGGCAGCAGUGGGGAAUAUUGGACAAUGGGCGCAAGCCUGAUCCAGCCAUACCGCGUGGGUGAAGAAGGCCUUCGGGUUGUAAAGCCCUUUUGUUGGGAAAGAAAAGCAGCAGGUUAAUACCCCGCUGUUCUGACGGUACCCAAAGAAUAAGCACCGGCUAACUUCGUG
rnacentral:rRNA from 1 species